CCAAGCGUGAACUCAAAGGAAUUGACGGGGGCCCGCCCAAGCGGUGAGCAUGUGGUUUAAUUCGAAGCAACGCGAAGAACCUUACCUGGGCUUGACAUCCACGUGAAAGCCCCUGGAAACAGGGGCCCUCCUUCGGGACUCGUGGACAGGUGCUGCAUGGCUGUCGUCAGCUCGUGUCGUGAGAUGUUGGGUUAAGUCCCGCAACGAGCGCAACCCUUGCCCUAUGUUGCCAGCGGUUCGGCCGGGGACUCAUGGGGAACUGCCGGUGAUAGACCGGAGGAAGGUGGGGAUGACGUCAAGUCCUCAUGGCCCUUACGUCCAGGGCUACACACGUGCUACAAUGGCCGGUACAAAGGGCUGCAAACCCGCGAGGGUGAGCGAAUCCCAAAAAGCCGGUCCAAGUUCGGAUUGUAGUCUGCAACUCGACUACAUGAAGGCGGAAUCGCUAGUAAUCGUGGAUCAGCAACGCCACGGUGAAUACGUUCCCGGGCCUUGUACACACCGCCCGUCACGCCAUGGAAGCCGGGAGUGCCCGAAGUCCGUGACCCAACCUAGUGAGGGAGCGGCCGAAGGCAAAUUCGGUGACUGGGGCGAAGUCGUAACAAGGUAGCCGUAG
rnacentral:rRNA from 1 species